rnacentral:rRNA from 1 species
CCUACGGGUGGCAGCAGUGAGGAAUAUUGGUCAAUGGCCGUAAGGCUGAACCAGCCAAGUAGCGUGAGGGAUGACUGCCCUACGGGUUGUAAACCUCUUUUAUGCGGGGAUAAAGGUGUGCACGUGUGGCUGUUUGCAGGUACCCCAUGAAUAAGGAUCGGCUAAUUCCGUGCCAGCAGCCGCGGUAAUACGGAGGGUCCGAGCGUUAUCCGGAUUUAUUGGGUUUAAAGGGAGCGUAGGCGGGUCUUUAAGCGUGCCGUGAAAUUUUGGGGCUCAACCCUGAGAGUGCGGCGCCAACUGGAGGCCUUGAGUGCGCGGAAGGCAGGCGGAAUUCGUGGUGUAGCGGUGAAAUGCUUAGAUAUCACGAAGAACCCCGAUUGCGAAGGCAGCCUGCCGCAGCGUUACUGACGCUGAUGCUCGAAAGCGCGGGUAUCGAACAGGAUUAGAUACCCCUGUAGUC